rnacentral:rRNA from 1 species
GGGCCCGCACAAGCGGUGGAGCAUGUGGUUUAAUUCGAUGAUACGCGAGGAACCUUACCAGGGCUUAAAUGUAGUGGGACAGGUCUAGAGAUAGACCCUUCUUCGGACUCAUUACAAGGUGCUGCAUGGUUGUCGUCAGCUCGUGCCGUGAGGUGUCAGGUUAAGUCCUAUAACGAGCGCAACCCCUAUCGUUAGUUGCCAGCGGGUCAUGCCGGGAACUCUAGCGAAACUGCCGGUGCAAACCGAGAGGAAGGUGGGGAUGACGUCAAAUCAUCACGGCCCUUACGUCCUGGGCCACACACGUGCUACAAUGGCCGGCACAGAGAGCAGCCACUACGCGAGUAGGAGCGAAUCUUCAAAACCGGUCUCAGUUCGGAUCGCAGUCUGCAACUCGACUGCGUGAAGCUGGAAUCGCUAGUAAUCGGAUAUC